rnacentral:rRNA from 1 species
GACGAACGCUGGCGGCGUGCUUAACACAUGCAAGUCGAGCGGUAAGGCCUUUCGGGGUACACGAGCGGCGAACGGGUGAGUAACACGUGGGUGAUCUGCCCUGCACUUCGGGAUAAGCCUGGGAAACUGGGUCUAAUACCGGAGAUGACCUCCUAUCGCAUGGUGGGUGGGGGAAAGAUUUAUCGGUGCAGGAUGGGCGCGCGGCCUAUCAGCUUGUUGGGGGGGUAAUGGCCUACCAAGGCGACGACGGGUAGCCGACCUGAGAGGGUGACCGGCCACACUGGGCCUGAGACACGGCCCAGACUCCUACGGGAGGCAGCAGUGGGGAAUAUUGCCCAAUGGGCGAAAGCCUGAUGCAGCGACGCCGCGUGAGGGAUGACGGCCUUCGGGUUGUAAACCUCUUUCAGCAGAGACGAAGCGCAAGUGACGGUACCUGCAGAAGAAGCACCGGCUAACUACGUG